AUUGAACGCUGGCGGCAGGCCUAACACAUGCAAGUCGAACGGUAGCACAGAGAGCUUGCUCUCGGGUGACGAGUGGCGGACGGGUGAGUAACGUCUGGGAAACUGCCCGAUGGAGGGGGAUAACUACUGGAAACGGUAGCUAAUACCGCAUAACGUCGCAAGACCAAAGUAGGGGACCUUCGGGCCUCACACCAUCGGAUGUGCCCAGAUGGGAUGAUCUAUUAGGUGGGGUAAUGGCUCACCUAGGCCACGAUCCCUAGCUGGUCUGAGAGGAUGACCAGCCACACUGGAACUGAGACACGGUCCAGACUCCUACGGGAGGCAGCAGUUGGGAAUAUUGCACAAUGGGCGCAAGCCUGAUGCAGCCAUGCCGCUUGUAUGAAUAAGGCCUUCGGGUUGUAAAGUACUUUCAGCGGGGAGGAAGGCGGUGAAGUUAAUAGCUUCACCGAUUGACGUUACCCGCAGAAGAAGCACCGGCUAACUCCGUGCCAGCCGCCGCGGUAA
rnacentral:rRNA from 1 species